UACGUAGGUGGCAAGCGUUACUCGGAAUCACUAGGCGUAAAGCGCAGGUAGGCGGUUCGGUAAGUCUCUUGUGAAAGCUCCCGGCUCAACUGGGAGAGGUCAAGGGAAACUGCCGGGCUAGAGUGUGGCAGAGGAAGCUGGAAUUCCCGGUGUAGCGGUGAAAUGCGUAGAGAUGUGGAGGAACACCGAUGGCGAAGGCAGCCUUCUGGGCCAACACUGACGCUCAUGCACGAAAGCGUGGGGAUCAAACAGG
rnacentral:rRNA from 1 species